rnacentral:rRNA from 1 species
CCCUUAGAUGUUCUGGGCCGCACGCGCGCUACACUGAUGCAUUCAACGAGCCUAUCCUUGACCGACAGGUCCGGGUAAUCUUUGAAUCUGCAUCGUGACGGGGAUAGAUUAUUGCAAUUAUUAAUCUUAAACGAGGAAUGCCUAGUAGGCGCAAGUCAUCAGCUUGCGUCGAUUACGUCCCUGCCCUUUGUACACACCGCCCGUCGCUCCUACCGAUUGGGUGUGCUGGUGAAAUGUUCGGAUCGGCCGUUUGUCGCGGUUUCCGCGUCAUGUGGCUGAGAAGUUCAUUAAACCCUCCCACCUAGAGGAAGGAGAAGUCGUAACA